UACGUAGGGUGCAAGCGUUGUCCGGAAUUAUUGGGCGUAAAGCGCACGUAGGCGGUUCGUUAUGUCGGAUGUGAAAGCCCUUGGCUUAACCGAGGAAGUGCAUCCGAAACUGGCGAGCUAGAGUACGAAAGAGGAUCGCGGAAUUCCCGGUGUAGAGGUGAAAUUCGUAGGUAUCGGGAGGAACACCGGUGGCGAAGGCGGCGAUCUGGGUCGAUACUGACGCUGAGGUGCGAAAGCGUGGGGAGCAAACAGG
rnacentral:rRNA from 1 species